UUUAAGCAAAGGGAGAGAUUGGUCUGCUCCUCUUACCCAUGUCUUUUGAGUCCUUCGUUUCCUCGGCGGGUCCGCCCGCCGGUUGGACAACAUUCAAACCCUUUGCAGUUGCAAUCAGCGUCUGAAAAAACUUAAUAGUUACAACUUUCAACAACGGAUCUCUUGGUUCUGGCAUCGAUGAAGAACGCAGCGAAAUGCGAUAAGUAGUGUGAAUUGCAGAAUUCAGUGAAUCAUCGAAUCUUUGAACGCACAUUGCGCCCCUUGGUAUUCCAUGGGGCAUGCCUGUUCGAGCGUCAUUUGUACCUUCAAGCUCUGCUUGGUGUUGGGUGUUUUGUCUCGCCUCCGCGCGCAGACUCGCCUUAAAACAAUUGGCAGCCGGCGUAUUGAUUUCGGAGCGCAGUACAUCUCGCGCUUUGCACUCAUAACGACGACGUCCAAAAGUACAUUUUUACACUCUUGACCUCGGAUCAGGUAGGGAUACCCGCUGAACUUAAGCAUAUCAUAGNCGCGAGGAAA
rnacentral:sRNA from 1 species